rnacentral:rRNA from 1 species
GUCAAGUCAUUAUGCUCUUUUUUCAGAGAUAUUCAUGUGUUACAAAGUUUGCCACUAGAGAUCUUACUACAUGAGAACAGGUUAGUGAAAAGGUUAUCAUCCGAAUUGAAAACUGAAAUGUCUUCAUGAAGGAGGAAUUAUUUGGAAUCUUUGGUUAGUUACUUAAAGGUGAACAGGAGAUAAAUUUUGCACAUACUGCCCGUCAAGCAAAAAGCAGAGAUGUAGAUUUAAACAGACCUUUGUAAAAUUGUAACAUUCGCAUUCUAAUUUGUGUUAAGUCGAAACAUGGUAGCU